UUCUUACAAUGCUUACACCAAGGAACACAAAAUUUCACAAACCAUGCAGUAUCCUUUUCCUUCACUUUGUCAGAGAAGGUCUCAGGGGUUAGGGUUAUGACUUCAGCUUCCGCAUAUAAUAGAAUUAAGCUCAGAACAAGAAGAAGAAGCGGAAAGAGAAUCAGAGAGCGAUUAAGCUUCUUCAUAGCUGUGUAGACGAUGAUUUGCACUUUUCAGGCAUUUGGAAGCUGGUCUA
rnacentral:misc_RNA from 1 species